rnacentral:lncRNA from 1 species
CUGCAUAAUAGGCAAAUAAUUGAAGAGAUUAUUUAGGUUAUGCAUCAAUAAUACCAUUCAGCUCUUGCCAAUCUAGUUUGAAACUAAGACAAAUCCUUGGAUUUACCUUGAAAGAUGGUCUGAAACGUUUUGUGUAAGGAAGACUCCUAUCACUGAAUCAACAACUGACCCCUUCCAUUUUGAAAAGCGCCUAUCUCCUGCAAAGGGUUAUUGCAUUCGCAAAGGAAGGUAAGUUUACUGAUAUCCAAAUUCAGUUUUGGAACUAGUAUGACAGAAUAAGAUUCUUUUUCUAACUGUGGACUGUUGGUCAUAACUAUUUGAAAAAAGUUCCACCUAGAUUCAUCAGUGAAAAUCCCAAGUCAAUGGUAUAAAAUAAUAUAAAAUCCAAUUUCCUUUGGACAUGUGUUUAGGUACAUUAUCACUGGAAUGAAGGUGCUCCAAGUUCUUAGGAUAUUUUUUAACUCAUAUUCUACCUUGUACCAGAUGCAUUCUUGCAAUGAAUGAAUCGGCUCGUCCACGAAAAACUCUUCUCUCUUCGUCCCACCAUCGUUGUUUGUCCUCAUCUGUUUCUUCGAGGCCUUCACUUCCUUCUUUCCACAUCAACAGUUUCCAUACUCUCUCUGUCUCUGGGUCAAGGUCUACUUUAGGCCUUGGCUUGCGCUUCUUGAUAAAUUCAAACCCUUGAUAUGGAACUAGUGUUCCGUCUCCUUUGUAUAGCACGAGUGCAUUUUGCUCCUUACCCUUCAUUUUUUCAUUGAGACUGAGACGCUCCAUUCGAUAAAUAAUUUCUUCAAUUGUGGCUGGGAAUUUCUGCUUAGCUGGUCGUCCUGCAUGAGAAAUCAAAAGUGUUGCUUUUCAAUAGCAGUUACUAGAAUAUUUUGGUAUCUAGCCUUUUGAUUGUACUGAUUCGAUAAAGAUAUCUUGAAAUCAACAUACCUUUUCUUCUUGCAGGUGAUUGUAGACCUUUCAAGAUGUCUGCUUGUUCUUGCAACAUCUUACAUUUUCCAGAUGCAACAGAUAUGGAUUGAUUGGGUCCCACUUCCUGCUUUCUUGACACAUCAACAUUGCGUUGAGGGGCUGUUUUGGGUGGAGUUAGUGGG